rnacentral:rRNA from 1 species
UACGGAGGGAGCUAGCGUUGUUCGGAAUUACUGGGCGUAAAGCGCACGUAGGCGGCUUAGCAAGUCGGAUGUGAAAUCCCUCGGCUCAACCAAGGAAGUGCAUCCGAAACUGCUGAGCUUGAGUACGAAAGAGGAUCGCGGAAUUCCCGGUGUAGAGGUGAAAUUCGUAGAUAUCGGGAGGAACACCAGUGGCGAAGGCGGCGAUCUGGGUCGAUACUGACGCUGAGGUGCGAAAGCGUGGGGAGCAAACAGG